rnacentral:lncRNA from 1 species
CAUAUAUAAACCACUUUGCAAAAAGAGAGUUAUGGAAUAAAAGAGAAAAUGAAGAAGAGAAGAAAGGCUGGAGUGCAAUGGUGUGAUCUCAGCUCACUGCAGCCUCAACCUCCCUGGCUCAGGUGAUUCUCCCACCUCAGCUUCCUGAUUAAUUGAGAUUACAGUAAUGGUGAAAUUGCCGGUAAUCACUAAGUAAAAACCGCUGAAGAAUGGGACAAAGCCAAUGACCACCUCACCUCCACCGAGUGCCCUGCGGAAAAAGGAAAUGGAAAUCCUUCCUGUUCUUCUCCACGUCCCUUCGUAGAAGGCUGCCUGAGAGGUCAGCACAGGAGCCCUCUAAGUGCCCUGCAGAGAACACAGGUCUCGGAGCCGGACAAACCUAAAUUUU